ACUACGAGCCCCAGCUUAAAACCCAAAGGACUUGGCGGUGCCCCACCCACCUAGAGGAGCCUGUUCUAUAAUCGAUAACCCCCGCUUAACCUCACCACUUCUUGCCAAUACCGCCUAUAUACCACCGUCACCAGCCCACCCCGUGAGGGAAAUAGUAGGCACAAUGAUAAGUCUCCAAAACGUCAGGUCGAGGUGUAGCGUAUAAAGUGGAAAGAAAUGGGCUACAUUCUCUAACCUAGAGCACACCCCAAAUCAUAUGAAAUUAGAUUAGAAGGAGGAUUUAGUACUAAAAAGAAACAAUAGUGUUCUUUUUAAGUUGGCCCUGGGGCGCGCACACACCGCCCGUCACCCUCUUCGAUACCAUCAUACCAGUCUCUUAACCAUUCCCAACCAAGCAUUACUAUAGAAGAGGCAAGUCGUAACAUGGUAA
rnacentral:rRNA from 1 species